ACCCGCUGAACUUAAGCAUAUCAAUAAGCGGAGGAAAAGAAACUAACAAGGAUUCCCCUAGUAACUGCGAGUGAAGCGGGAAAAGCUCAAAUUUAAAAUCUGAUGGUCCUUGCGGCUGUCCGAGUUGUAAUUUAGAGAAGUGUUAUCCGCGCUGGACCGUGUAUAAGUCUCCUGGAACGGAGCGUCGUAGAGGGUGAGAAUCCCGUAUAUGACACGGACUACCAGGGCUUUGUGAUGCGCUCUCAAAGAGUCGAGUUGUUUGGGAUUGCAGCUCAAAAUGGGUGGUAAAUUCCAUCUAAAGCUAAAUAUAGGCGAGAGACCGAUAGCGAACAAGUACCGUGAGGGAAAGAUGAAAAGAACUUUGGAAAGAGAGUUAAACAGUACGUGAAAUUGUUGAAAAGGAAACGCUUGAAGUCAGUCGCGUUGGCCAGGGAUCAACUUAGCUUCUGCUGAGAGCACUUUCUGGUUAACGGGUCAGCAUCAAUUUUGAUUGUUGGAUAAAGGUCAGUGGAAUGUGGCAUCUUCGGAUGUGUUAUAGCCAUUGGUUCGUAUACAACGGUUGGGAUUGAGGAACUCAGCACGCCGCAAGGCCGGGUAUUCGUACCACGUACGUGCUUAGGAUGCUGGCAUAAUGGCUUUAAUCGACCCGUCUUGAAACACGG
rnacentral:rRNA from 1 species